GUAAUCAUACUAAAUUUUUAAAAAAUUAUUUUAAAAAAUAUGGCAAGCGAUAAAAUUAUAGCUACAAUUUUAAAAAUUAAAGUCGAUUAGGAACCAUCGAUUACACUCAUUUUCAUAUUUUUGUGUUGAACAGAAGCCGUUAAAAAUAAUUUUGAAUAAUUGUACUAAUUUACAUAUUUUAUAAAACCGCCCUCAACCCCACCUUGAACUGAACUUAAGUGGCCAGGGAGAGGUAAACGAUGCAAGUCAUAACAUUUGUUAUCCAUGAUAAAUACGGACAAGGUAAUCAAAAUAAACAAAAUGGCGAACAAGGGAAGAUUUUCAGUUCGAUUCAAGCUUUAAAAAUUCAUACUACAUACAGAGAAGAUAAGUCAGAUGAAGUUCCUUUUAAAAACUCUUAUCACUGAAUCCUCCAGUUGACCAGUUCUGAAGACUUAAUAUACAGUAUUCUUCAACAGUGGUCAGGCUUGACUGAAAAUGGCCUACACAUACCUAUUAGAUCCAACUAGUCCAAGGAUACAUGUUGGACCCAAGAAAACUUGUUCAUAUUGAACAACUUUUUUUUUAAUAUAUUAGUUCUGAAUGUAAUUAAAAAAGAAAUUUAUAAA